CCCGGCGCCCGACCCGCCCGGCGCGCCGCUGCCCCCCCGCGCUAGGCCUUCUUGCACUUGCCCUUCUUCUCGCGCUGCUGGAACUUGCGCAGCCGCCGCGCCCACGUGUCCCGCCACUGGAUCACCAGGCUGCUCUUGUCCGCCACAAUGCCGCUCUGGUCGGGCGAGUCCUCCGCGUUGCCCAGCAGUAGGUACUUCUUGAGGGGCUUGAUUUUGGGGCACUUGCAGGCGAUGUCCCGCGAGCGGAUCCAGAGGUUCUGGUCACCGCGGCGGAUGCGGCUGGUGCCCUGCUUGUACACGGAGAUGAUGUUCACCGUAAACUUCCACCAGUCCCCCGCCUUGUCCGCCUUCAGGAUGUGGAUCUGGACGGCUGCAAGGAAGCACAGGCAGGAGGGUGGGCCACGGGUGCCGCCUGGACCCCGAGCUCCUGCGACCAGCAGGGCCAGGGAUGGGGUGGCUUGUGUGAUGGAGAAGGAAAAGGAGACCCAGAGCUGGAAAGUGCCUGCACGGGGUACCUGACUAGGGAAUGGGUGUGUGGUGGCAAAGCUGAUACUGGGGCCAAGGCUGCUGUUCCAGGAAGCCUUAUGUCCUGUGUUGAAGGUGCCACCCAGCACUGUCUUUGGGGACAAUCCUCUUUAGGGUCCAGGAAGGUGCUGUAGGUACUGACCACAUCCCCAGAACUUGGCAGAAUCCAGCUGCCAGGGCAGGUGCCCUCCAUGAGCAUAGCACUGGCGCCUCGGCACAGGAUGGGGGGAACCUCCUCAGAUGGUACCCCCUGGGCAUUUCCAAAGGCCCCGUCACUUAACAUCAAGCCUCAUGACACCCCUAGACAUACAGCCUUGCCCUUGAUCCAAUCUCAGAAACCCAGAAUGGGGUCUCAGUGCCCAGGUGCAGUGCACCCUGAACAGCCCUUCAGGGUGGCUGCAGCGUCUCUUCCAGAGUCCAGGAUCCUUGUACUGCCCCCCUGCCAGUCUGCUUUGUCUCCCUGUCCUCAGGCCAUUCCCCUCCCUUUCAAUUCUCUGCUACUCUUUCCCUGAGUAGAAGGGGUUCUCAAGCUGGAGCAGGCAUCAGAAUCCCCUGGAGGGCUUGUCAAACACAUUGCGGGCCUCACCCCAAUUUCCGAUUCAAUAGAUGUGGACUGGGGCCCAGGACCGCACACCUCUCCCACAUUCCCAGAUGGUGCUGAUCCAGGGAACACACUUUGAGAAUCGAUGCUCUAGUAAAUGUUAACACAUGUUCUUUCUGCAGGAUAUUAAGAGAUACUUCAUAAGAGGAGGACACACUUUUGUGUUUUAAGGGGGGGGAUUUUGCUCAAAUAUGUGAAAUACUGGUUUAAACAAAGGAAGUCGCCUUAGUGCAGGACUUUUCUGAGCCUUUAAUCUACAAACUGUGUGCACACACGCAUGUGCUGGCUUCCCAAACAACUCUCACUGCAGGACCCUUUGGCUGGUGCAUCUCAAGGCACCAGAGCCCCACGGAGCCUACCUGGGGAACUUCUUGGGGGGGACACAACCAUUCCAGGGAUUACAGGUGAAGAGACCGAGACAAGGUGCACUCCAGCCACGAGGACAUGUCCCCAGGGAAUGCCAAGAGGUCAUCACCUGCCCACUUUGCUCUGGGCACUGGGUCCACCCACAGCUUGGCCUGGCCGGCCUCUCUCAAGGUCUCUGGGGGCCACUCUGCCACCUUCACUCCCCAGGCCCUCCCCGUUCCCCUCCUGUGCCCGCACUUAGCCCGGGGUGAUGGGAAGGGGCAGGGAUGGCUGGGCCCUCCAUCGAACGCCACCCGACUCGUCCUUCUGGGGCGAGGGAAGGGGCGGAUUUUCCCAUAUUUUCAUUUCAGCUGUUCCUGGGCAUCCUCAACUUUGCACUCCAGUCUGAGGGCGCCAAAGAAUGGCUGCCAUGGCAACCGUUUCCAUGUUUUUGUCACCAAGGGACUCAACACUCAGUGUGAACUCUGAGGUGGGGGUGGGGAGCCCUCCAGCCUGGAGAAGUGGCUGGGCUGUGUGUGUUUGACUGCGCAGAUAGAGGUCACCGUGGCAACUCCGUGCCCCUCAGCUAAGCAAGCGGGGAGCCGCCCCCAGCAUCCCCCAGAGCCCCGGUUUCCUCUCCUUGGGACUGAGCUGAAUACAGAAUGAGCCUCCCCCAGGAUGCAGCUGUUUGCCUGUGUGGGACCUCAGACCUCCGGCCCAGCCACAGUGUCCCCCCAACCAGGGUGGGCUGGGGUGGCCGACAAGGAUGCUGCAGAAGGCACCUCUGGCUCAGGCCCCUGGAGAAUGUGGCUUUGAUCAUCUGUUGGUGUUAUGAGCUGAACCGUGUAUCUCCCCCCACCGGCAAAAUUAAUACAUUGAAGUCCUAACCCCCAGUACCUCAGAAUGUGGCAGUAUUUGGAGAUAACUUAAUUACCUCUUAACGACUUUAUAACUUAAAGGGUGGGCCCUAAUCCAAUAUGACUGGAGUCCUCAUAAGAAGAGAUUAGGACAGAGACACGCACAGAGGGACGACCACGUGAAGACACAGCAAGAAGACGGCCACCUACAAGCCCAGGAGAGAGGCCUCAGAGGAAACCAACCCUGACGACACCUUGAUCCAGUACUUCCAAACUCCAAAACUGGGAGAAAAUGAGUUUCUGUUGUUUGA